rnacentral:rRNA from 1 species
AUGAAUCCAUCAUCCAUGGAGAGGUGCUGCCUGCUGCUCCUCUUCGUGGCGUUCCUCUGGCCGGCGGCCAGCGCGACGCCGUGCCACCCUGACGACCUCCGCGCGCUGCGGGGCUUCGCCGGGGAGCUCGGCGGCGGGGGAGCCCUCCGCACCGCAUGGUCCGGCGCAUCGUGCUGCGCCUGGGAAGGUGUGGGCUGCGACAGCGCCAGCGGCCGCGUCACGGUGCUGCGGCUCCCCUGGCGCGGCCUCGCGGGGCACAUCCCAGGAGCCUCCCUGGCGGGCCUCGUGUGGCUGGAGGAGCUCUUCCUCGGCUCGAACCAUUUCGAGGGCGUCAUCCCAGACGAGCUCUUCGGCCUCGUCAGGUUAAGGAAGCUCUCCCUCGCAUCCAACGAGCUCACCGGCGAGCUGAGCCCACGCCUCGGUGAGCUCACACACCUUACCUUGUUGGAUUUGUCCGCCAACCGCUUCUUCGGCCCCUUGCCGGACGUGUUCCGUGACCUCACGUCGCUAGAGCAUUUGGCCAUGCAUUCCAAUGGCUUCUCCGGCUUCUUGCCACCGUCUCUUUCAUCACUAUCUUCUCUCCAUGAGCUCAACCUCAGAAACAACUCCAUGUCCGGUCCGAUUGCUCGUGUUAGCUUCUCCGACAUGCCACUUCUUGCGUCGCUUGACUUUUCCACAAACUCCCUGACUGGGUGGCUCCCGGCUAGCCUCGCGAGCUGUGGUGAGCUCAAGUCGCUCAACCUUGCCAACAACAUAUUGGUCGGCACCAUCCCGUCGUGGAUUGGUGAGUUUGACAACCUUUGGUACUUGAAUCUCUCAAAUAAUUCAUUUGUUGGUGAGGUACCCAAGAGUUUGUUACGGCUCAAUGGCCUCGCCACCGCGGGUCGCUCAUCGGGUAUGGUUUUCAUUAACAUGCCCUCUUUCGUAAAUCACGAAAGAAGAGCACUCGAUGAACAACCAAAUACCAUAACUGGGACCAACAACACUGUCAGAUCUGGGCGCAACAACACCAUGUCUGGGAACGACAACAUUGUCAUGUCCGGAGACAGCAACACUGUGUCCGGGAGCUUCAACACCCUCGUAUGUGGAAACAACAAUAUUCUAAGUGGUGACCACCAUGUUGUAUCUGGGAGCAACCAUAUUGUAACUAACAGUUUCAAUAAAGUGACUGGGUGCACCAAUAACGUAUCUGGGAGCAACCAUACUGUAUCCGGGAGCAACAAUACCGUAACUGGGAGCAGCAAUACGGUAUCUGGGAACAACCAUGUCGUGUCUGGGAGCAACAGAGUCGUAACCGGAGAUUAA